rnacentral:lncRNA from 1 species
GUGGUAAAAGAAAGAAAAGAAGAAAGGAAAAAAAGAUAAGAAGAAGUAGGUAAGGGAGGAAGAGAGAUAUCAGAAAGAAGAGAAAGAGGAAGAAAGAAGAAAAGAGAAAGAGGAAGAAGAGGAAGGAAGAAGAGGGAAAGCUCAUGAAGAGCAUGUUCAUCAACACCAUCAUGUCAUCUUCAUCACCACCAACUUCAUCUUCUUCUUCUACUAGGUGAGUUCUUAGAUAGUUUUAGCAUUUGGGGGAAAAUAAUCUAUAUUUGUGGGGUUAGGAUUUGUGUCAUUUGUGAUAAACUUGUUGUGUGCAUACUCCCUAUCCAUGCUAUGUGUUGAAA